rnacentral:lncRNA from 1 species
GUUCCUGGGGAAUGUGGGUCCAGGGAAGGCCAAAAUCGAGUGCAAAGGCCCCUGGCGAGAAUGUACUUGUUACCUUCAUGGAACAAGAAGGAAAGAAGCAUGCUUGAGUGGAGUGAUGGAGCCAGAGUGGUUGCCCAAGGAAGCUCGAUUACACAGGGCCUUGUAGGCCACAGGCAGGACUGGGGCUUGUUUGUUUGUUUCUUUGUUUGUUUGUUUUGAGGCAGAGUAUCGCUCUGUUGCCCAAGGAAGCUCGAUUACACAGGGCCUUGUAGGCCACAGGCAGGACUGGGGCUUGUUUGUUUGUUUCUUUGUUUGUUUGUUUUGAGGCAGAGUCUCACUCUGUUGCCCAUGCUGGAGUGCAGUGGCACAAUCUCAGCUCACUGCAGCCUCUGCCUCCCGGGUUCAAGCAAUUUUCCUGCCUCAGCCUCCUGAGUAGCUGGGAUUACAAGCAUGUACCACCACGCCUGUCUAAUUUUUAUAUUUUUAGUAGAGACGGGGUUUCACCAUGUUGACCAGGUUGCUCUUAAACUUCUGACCUCAGGUGAUCCACCCGCCUCAGCCUCCCAAAGUGCUGGGAAUACAGGCGUGAGCCAUCCCGCC